AUUAACACACUAUAUAUCUUAUUUAACCUAAUAAUAUUAUUAAGAAUAAUUAUAAAACAAAUUAAGUACUGUAAAGGAAUAAUAAAUUUUAAAAGUAGUAAUUAACGUACCUUGUGCAUAAUGGGUUUACAAGCUUAAUUAUAAAAUAACAACCCGAAUUCUUUAUGAGCUGAAUUUAUCUUGUUUAGAACUAAUAAAUAGAUGUUUCAAUAUCUUUUAAAAAGUUAAAUUCAGAGGCUACAUACCAACCGCAUAAGAAUAUAGCUGGUUCCCACUAAACACUAUAAAUUAGAACAUCUAAAAUAGAAUGUAAAAUAAUAAAAGAUAAGUUUUAUUAUAUAAUCAAUUAAUUUAAUAAACAUAACAAUUAGUAGGCCUAAUAACAGCCACCAUAAAAUACUUUAUCGUAAAAUAUUAUUUUUAAUAAUUAUUAAGUAAUGAUAAAAAUAGGUAGGAAUUUAACAAAACUAAUAAUUAUACUAAUUAUGUAAACACUAGUAUUAUACAAAAUAUAUAAAAGGAACUCGGCAAAUAUUAUUUCGACUGUUUAACAAAAACAUUUCUUUUAGAAACUAUUAAAAGUAUAUCCUGCCCAAUGAAAAUUCAAUGGCCGCGGUAUCCUAACCGUGCAAAGGUAGCAUAAUAACUUGUUUAUUAAUUGUAAACUAGAAUGAAAGGGUGAACGAAAUAAAUACUGUCUCCUAUAUAUAACUAAAAUCUAUCCUUUAAGUGAAGAGACUUAAAUAAAAUUGAAAGACAAGAAGACCCUAUAGAGCUUUAUCAUAAAUAUAAAAUUAUUAUAUUAAGAUUUGGUUGGGGCGACCUAGGAAUAUUUAACAUCCUAAAUUAUAUGAGAUUUAUACAUCAUUACUUGAUCCAAUACUUGAUCAAUAAAUUAAGUUACCUUAGGGAUAACAGGCUAAUAAUUUUCUAGAGUCCUUAUCAACAAAAUUGUUUGGCACCUCGAUGUUGGCUUAAGGAACCAUUAUGAUGCAGAAGUCAUAAAUGGAGGUUUGUUCAACCUAUAAAUCCUUACAUGAGCUGAGUUCAGACCGGCGUAAGCCAGGUUAGAUUCUAUCUUCAAUACAUAAAAUUUAUCUGUAGUACGAAAGGACCCAAAUAAACCUAAAAAUAGGAAUUAAUAACAAUUAUUUAUAAACUAU
rnacentral:rRNA from 1 species